GUGCUGAAGGAUCUGAAGUAUGCUGACUCUCAUGAAUGGGUGAAAGUGGAGGGUGAUUCAGCAACCGUGGGGAUUACUGACUAUGCCCAGCGUGCUUUGGGUGAGCUUGUUUAUGUGGAGCUACCAGAAGUUGGCAUCAGUGUAUCCCAGGGAAAGACCUUUGCUGCUCUUGAGAGUGUGAAGGCAGCCAGCGAUACCUAUUCACCAGUGUCUAGAGAGGUGGUUGAAGUGAACGAGAAACUAAGUGACUUGCCUGGAUUGGUAAGUGUUGCAACUCAUAUUAGCCAGAACUCAUCUGAAAAUAAACUUCCGUGGGUACAUUAGUCAAUGAUUAUCAUUUCUGGUUAGGUGAAUACAAGUCCAUAUGAGAAGGGAUGGCUUAUCAAGGUCAAGCUCAGUAAUUCAGGUGAGCUCAAUUCGCUCAUGGAUGAUGAUAAGUACUCGAAAUUCUGCGAAGGCAACCAUUGAAGAAAUCAGAGUGUCUUCUGAAGACCAUGACCUGUUUUUCAAGCUUUUAUCACUGGUUAUGGUCUGGAGACCAGCUGUGACAAAUUGGCAAGGUUCAUCACAAGGAAUAAAUGUUAGGAUUUGCCAAUCCUACAAGGGCAUGGGAAAUCCAAGUUUGUGUUGUCAAUGACGUGGUCAUAUUUGAUAUUUCUUUGUAGUUGUAAUCUCGUGAAUUCCUUCUUUUUUCUUAAAAAUGACUCUUUUUGAUUC